CGGGGCGUAGCGCAGCUUGGUAGCGCACUUGCAUGGGGUGCAAGGGGUCGGAGGUUCAAAUCCUCUCGCCCCGA
rnacentral:tRNA from 1 species